GAUGAAGAACGUAGCGAAAUGCGAUAAGUAAUGUGAAUUGCAGAAUUCAGUGAAUCAUCGAAUCUUUGAACGCACAUUGCGCCCAUUAGUAUUCUAGUGGGCAUGCCUGUUCGAGCGUCAUUUGUACCCUCAAGCUUUGCUUGGUGUUGGGCGUCUUGUCUCUAGCUUUGCUGGAGACUCGCCUUAAAGUAAUUGGCAGCCGGCCUACUGGUUUCGGAGCGCAGCACAAGUCGCACUCUCUAUCAGCAAAGGUCUAGCAUCCAUUAAGCCUUUUUUUCAACUUUUGACCUCGGAUCAGGUAGGGAUACCCGCUGAACUUAAGCAUAUCAAUAAGCGGAGGA
rnacentral:misc_RNA from 1 species